rnacentral:rRNA from 1 species
GCUGGUGGCGAUGCGCUUAGGGGACACACCCGUUCCCAUCCCGAACACGAUGGUUAAGACCUAAGCGGCCGAUGGUACUGCACUGGAGACGGUGUGGGAGAGCAGGUGGCUGCCGGCU